UACGUAGGGUGCGAGCGUUGUCCGGAAUUAUUGGGCGUAAAGGGCUCGUAGGCGGUUUGUCGCGUCGGGAGUGAAAAUCCAGGGCUUAACUCUGGACUGGCUUCCGAUACGGGCAGACUAGAGGUAUGCAGGGGAGAACGGAAUUCCUGGUGUAGCGGUGAAAUGCGCAGAUAUCGGGAGGAACACCGGUGGCGAAGGCGGCGAUCUGGGUCGAGUACUGACGCUGAGGUGCGAAAGCGUGGGGAGCAAACAGGG
rnacentral:rRNA from 1 species